GCCAGGAUGGCUGAGCGGUCUAAGGCGCUGCGUUCAGGUUGCAGUCUCCCCUGGAGGCGUUGGUUCAAAUCCCACUUCUGACA
rfam:Tupaia chinensis contig168690, whole genome shotgun sequence.